GGAGAGGUGGCCGAGGGGUCGAAGGCGCACGCCUGGAGAGCGUGUGACGUCCGAAAGACGUCCGUGGGUUCAAAUCCCACCCUCUCCGCCA
rnacentral:tRNA from 1 species